ACCGUCACAUUCUCACGCACACAACUCUUGCAAUUCUCUCCCAAAUUCAAAAUCCCUAUAUACGAGUUCCCAUUUUUAGUACUGCGAACAAUUUCCGUUGAGCAGCUCUUUUCUCUUCUCUCUCAUACAUCUGUGUGUAGUUUUGCCAUGUCCCUUUUCCUUUAGCCUCCAAGGGCCGCCUUCUUUCUCAGUAGCAAAAUGAGUGGAAUAUCCGUAGGUCACUCCCAUCCCAGACCGUGUUCUGGGGAAAAAACAUUGAGAAGGUGCAGGAAUAAUGAGGAAGCUGAUAAUGUUAUUCUGAUAGAUGCUGAUUCAGAAAAAUUCGACAAUGUAAUUAUCAUUGAUAUUCCUGAAUCUUUACCAAAGAAAAGGCAAGGUUUGCACAUGCUCAGGAAAGACAAGAAGUGGUCAUUCAGGAAUGUAAUAUACAUUGAUGAUGAUGAAACCCCUGAUAGUAACCAUUCUAUUGGUGUCAACAAUGUCAGUUCCUCUGCUGGUACCUCUUCUAAUAGAGCAUCCUGCCGUGGUUCUAAGAACUUUGCGGAUUCUUCAGAUGCUACUGCUGAAGAAUGUCAAUUUGUUCAAGAUAAUGCAACUCCAGUGAGAUUGUCGAAAUGCAAGCGUACCUAUUCUGGGAAAGCUUUGGCAAGAAACCGCUAUGGUUUGAGUUCCGACUCCGAAAGUGAUUCAUCUGAUAGUGAUUGUCCUGAUUGUGAGGUAUUGGAAGAUUCUUCUGGAGAGGUUCAAGAGCUGUGGGAGAGAGCUUUCUCCAGGAGAAGGAAAGAUAUUCGUAGUGGUCCUAAAGGUACGAGGGUUUAUGAUAGGGCCUCGCAAGUUGUUAAUGGGGAUCGCCAACACCACCAAUAUGCUGAAACAAAAGAUGCAACUUGGCAGCAUAAGGAUGCCUCAUUUUGUUUUACUACAGUAAAUUCCAAUAAUAAAAAUGAUGCCUCAUCUCCUUGUACACCGAAAGAGGAUACUAAUUUUGGUUGCACCUCUGUUUUUGAUUGUCCUACUGUUCAUGAUAUCUCGCAGUCAGCGCCGAGAACACAUCAUUAUCAUCAGUCUGGUACAUGUGGCAGAACCAAUUCUGAAGCCAAAGGUUCUCCUGCUGAGCAGGUUGAUCACCCGGAUUGUGAGCCAUCAGGUUUGAACGAUCACAUUGGGGGAAGAGGGGAGCAUCCAGCUUCAUCUAAUUCUGGAUUCAGGAAACAGUCAACCAAGGAAUCCAAUGAUCCAACACCUGCUUUCGAGGGUGAGGAAGCUCCUAAAGUAGAACCUUGUCCAUCAAAGUUUAGAUCAUGUGUUGAUAAGGAUUACUGUCAUGGAAGAAAUUCUAAAAGUCCAUUGGAAAAUGGGGUCAUCCCAGGCAGAUCUUCUCCAAAGGACUCAGGAGAUGACACCGAACAAGUUUACCGUCAGGACAACAUGCAUCCGGUCACUGAGAUACCAUCAUUUAGGAAUCUCUCUCCUAAUGAAGCCAGACUUCAAGAGGACAAUUCUUUGUCAAAUUGUCGAUUGGAGGAGGAUAAAGAUGGUCAACUGCUUAUCGAAGUUGGAGACAUUUUGCCUUCAGCAGUGACCAGUAUAAUUGGUGAACGAGAAAAGCUUAAGGAAACAGAUGAGUAUAAAAGAGCAAUAGAGGAAGAAUGGGCUUCACGGCAAGAAGCGCUGCGAAUCCAGGCUGAAGAAGCACAACGACUCCGGCGGUUGCGGAAGAGAAGAAAAGCUGAGAGCAUGCGUUUGUUGGAUAUGGAAAGAAGACAGAAACAGCGUGUAGAGGAAAUAAGGAUUACUCAAAAGAAGGAUGAGGAAAAUAUGAACUUGAAGGAGGUAAUUCGUGCUGAAGUUAGGAAGGAGCUCAAGCAACUGGAAAUUGCGUGCCACAGUAUGGCUUCUCUCUUGCAUUUAUUGGGAAUUCGUGUGGGCGGUUGGCCUCAUCCCUUGCCACAAGAGGUACAGGCAGCUUACAAACGAGCCUUGCUGACUUUUCACCCAGAUCGAGCCUCACGAUCUGAUAUCCGUCAGCAAGUUGAAGCUGAGGAGAAAUUUAAGCUUAUUAAUCGCCUGAAGGAGAAAUUUUCACCUUCUUUAUGACAGUUGGUGAGUUUUGCGAUGUACUCUUCACCAUAACUCUUAUGCUCCAAGCUGUAAACAUCUACCUGCCUUCAAUGGAUAAGCUGCAUUAAAUGGAACUCAUUUUUGCUUUGGUGAUUCUCUGUUCUACUCUCUUGGUAUAUCAACUGGCUCCUUGAAGGUGUGAAAUCUUCAUCUAUUUUCUUUUGUGUUCGCUUUCGGGGUUAACUUUCUUAAGAGGAGGUUGGCUGUAAACAGUGUCUGUAAAAAGAUAGAAGAAAGGAGAUUCUCAGUCCCGCUGCGGUAUUCUAUGUUUAGACUGCGUCGGAGGGGUCGGCUGCUACUCAGAAAAUGCAGCUUAUGUUGUAUAAAUCAUGUUUUAUGUAUAAGCCGGUAGUGUUAUCAAUUUUGGAUGAGAAAGGACAAUGCGCUGCAUGUGGCUUUUGGCCAUUAGCUCAAUUUUGAUGGAGAAAAUAAUAAGUGCAUCAGAAAGCUGCGUUUUCCAUAUCAUAUUUAGGAUAAUUUAAUUUUAAUUUUCUAUAUCAAAUUCGAGUUUGCAAGUUUGGACUUCAAUUAGUUAGUGUAUGAGAAGGUCCAGGAUUAUGGCACGUGAUUUAACUUUGUCAAUAUUGGGGAGCAUGACCUGCAAAUUUAUCCUUUUUGGUCUGUCUGCCUACAUGUAAUAAGGAUUAUUCAAUCUCUCAAACGAAUUACACAAAAGCAGUUUAUAAAAAUAAUUAUAACUAUAUUGGAUUGUUUACAUCAUCUAUCAUAGCGGCUGCUGAUCAUGAGAUGUUAAGAUGGCUGAAAUGAGAUCUCAAAGCUGCUAAUUAUUACUCAACUCAACCGUGUCUUUCCUCCAAGAUAGUCCUUGUCUACAAUGGCUGGAGCAAGAUUUGAACUCCAUGCUGAGGCUGAACCGUGAGGGCUAUAAAA